UCCCAGGUGGUUCAGUAGUAAAGAAUCUGCCUGCAAUGCAGAAAACCCAGGUUCAAUCCCUGGGGUGGGAA
rnacentral:tRNA from 1 species